AAAGUAACUAACUUUUCUUUGUAUUUCCUUUCUCCAAAAAUUUGCAAGAUAUAAAACAAACAUAAAAAACAUACAAGAUUGAGGCCAGGUGUGGUGGCUCAUGCCUGUAAUCCCAGCAUUUUGAGAGGCCACAGCAGAUGGAUCACCUGAGGUCAGAAGUUUGAGACCAGCCUGGCCAACAUGGUGAAACUGCAUCAAUACUAAAAGUAGAAAAAAGUUAGCUAGGCAUGGUGGCAGGUGCUUGUAAUCCCAGCUACUUGGGAAGCUGAGUCAGGAGAAUUGCUUGAGCCCAGGAUGCAGAGGUUACAGUCAGCUGAGAUUGCACCAUUGCACUCCAGCCUGGGCAAUAAGAGUGAAACUCAAAAAAAAAAAAAAAAAAAAAAAAAAAAAAUUAAGGUUAGUAGGAGUGAGAGGGAGAGCAUCAUAAGAUUACAUCUAGCAAACACCUGAAAUCCAAAAGAGAUGCACCAGGACUUCCAAGGCAUCUACAUAACUUUGGUAAAAUAGAGUACUGGCUACGCAUGGUGGCUCAUGCCUGUAAUCUCAGCAUUUUAGGAGGCCAGAUCAGGAGGAUCUCUUGAGCCCAGGAAUUCAAGACCACCUUGGGCAAGAUAGUGAGACCCCAUCUCUAUCAGCACAAUAAAUAAAUUAGCCAGACGUAGUGGCGCUCAUGUUUAGUUCCAGCUAUUUGGGAGGCUGAGGUUGGAGGAUUGCUUGAGCCUGGGAAGUUGAGGCUGCAACGAUUGUUCCACUGCCCUCUAUCCUAGGUGACAGAGCAAGACUCUGUCUCAAAAUAGUAUAAAAUAUAGUAGUUUCCAGCCUAUAUGGAGGGAAAUUUGGUUAAGACUAAACUACAUGUGUGCUUACUCUUUUCACAUUUCUAGGACUUUAUCUGGAAAUACACCUUCAAUAUUAUGAAUAUACAUAGACAUCAAGUUGCUUAUUGUAGUAUUUUUUUGAGAUGGAGCUUUGCUUUUGUUGCCCAGGCUGAAGUGCAAUGGCGUGAUCUCGAUUCACUACAACCUCCGACUCCCUGGCUCAAGCAAUUCUCCUGCUUCAGCCUACCAAGUAGCUGGGAUUACAAGCAUGCACCACCAUGCCCAGCUAAUUUUUGUAUUUUUAGUAGAGAUGGGGUUUCACCAUGUUGGCCAGGAUGGUCUUGAUCUCUUGACCUCAUAAUCCACCCACCUUAGCCUCCCAAAGUGUUGGGAUUACAGGCAUGAGCCAGCAUGCCUGGCCUGCAGUAUUAUUUUUAACUGAACAAUAUUAGGAAGUGAAUGUUCAAGAAUAGGAUAUUAGUUGAAAUAUACUGUGGUACAUACAUGAAUGGAGUGUCAACUAUACAGCUGUAAAAAAAAAAUAAGAUCUCUAUGUACUAACCUAGUGAUUUUCACAGGUAAUAUUAGAUACAAAAAGUAUGUAUAAUAGGCUCUCUUUUAUAAAACUGGAAGGAAAAUAAAAAAGCAUAUCUACUCUUGACUUAUCUUUACAAAAAGAAACAAAGAUUAGCUGGGCACGGUGGCACGUGCCUGUAAUCCCAGCUACUCAGGAAGCUGAGGCAGGAGAAUUGCUUGAACCCUGGAGGCGGAGAUUGCUGUGAGCCGAGAUUGCACCAUUGCACUCCAGCCUGGGUAACGAGCAAAACUCCAUCUCAAUAAAAAAUAAAUAAAUAAAAUAAAAUCUUUUAAAUAAAAAAAAAAAAAAAAAAAGAAAGAAAGAAUAAAUUAGAAAAUAAUGAACUUGCUUACUUAUAAGGGAUCCAAGGAAUGGGACAGAAAGGAUAUGGAAAGGAGUGAUGAUGGGGUAUAGUGGCUCACACCUGUAAUCCUAGCAUUUUGGGAGGCCAAGGUGGGCGGAUCACGAGGUCAAGAGAUCAAUACCAUCCUGGCCAACAUGGUGAAACCCUGUCUCUACUGAAAAUACAAAAAUUAGCUGGGUGUGGUGGUAUGCACCUGUAGUCCCAGCUACUUGGGAGGCUGAGGCAGGAGAAUUGCUUGAAACUAGGAGGUGGAGAUUGCAGUGAGCCGAGGUCAUGCCACUACACUCUAGCCUGGUGAGAGAGAAAGGGACUCCAUCAAAAAAUAAAAAUAAAAAAAAAAGGAAUAACAGUUCUCUGAGUGUACCUUUUUGUAUGUAAUUUUUACUAUUGGUAUUGUGUAAAUAUUCUACAUAAGCAAAAAAAUUAAGUACCUAAGAAUGGAAAGGAGAAAAAUACCUCAAGCUGUAACCAAAUUGAAAUAAAUGAACCCAAUCAUUUUUCAUAUUACUACAAUAACUACACUGAUAACAAAAUUAUUGAAAGAUAAGGAAAAAAAACUAAAGAAAAAAGAACUAAUCCAAGUGAUUAGUUUAUAAACACAGUAUUUGACUAUAUAUACUCUUUUGUGCAAGAUGCAAUAUAAAGGAUGAGGGAGAAUUACAAACAAAUACUGAACUAGUAGUGUGGGUAAAGUAGUGAAACCAUUGUAGAUGGAUUAUAGGAUUAAGAAAAUGAGUUCAAGUCGAGCUCAGCCUGAACUGUAAUCUCAGCACUUUGGGAGGCUGAGGUGGGCAGAUCAAAAGGUCAAGAGAUCGUGACUAUCAUCCCGGCCAACAUGGUGAAACCCUGUCUCUACAAAAAAUACAAAAAUUAGCUGCGCCUGUAAUCCCAGCUACUCAGGAGGCUGAGGCAGGAGAAUCUCUUGAACCUGUGAAGUGGAGGUUGCAGUGAGCUGAGAUCGUGCCACUGUACUCCAGUCUGGUGACAGAGCAAGACUUCAUCUCAAAAAAAAAAAAAAAAGAAAAUGAGUUGAUGUACUUGUAUGUCAGGGUUCUUACAGAAGAAAUAGGAAUAUACAAUUAUCAAAUGGGGAGACAGAAGAAAAACCCAUGCAAAUAGAUUGCAAUUCGAGGUAUCAGUAUGGACUUAUACUUAAAAAAAUAUGCGUAUGUAUGUGUUACAUGCAUGUAUAUGUGGCUCUAUACAUGUGUGUAUAUAAAUAAAUAUAUAAAUGUAUUUAUACACACAUGGCAAAUGUAUGUAUUUUACAUCUCUGUCCAUUGAAAAGGAUAAGAAACAGUAGUACCCCGGUAGCAGUGACCAUGCAUAAUGCCCACAUCUUAGUCUCUAAUACCGUUCUCCACUAAAAAGGAACCAAGACUUCUUGGAAAAAUGAUUUAUUCCAAGACUGGAGCAGGAUAGGUGUAAGAUAAACCUGGGACAUCUUAUAAUGUUUUAAAAUUUUUGUAGGAAAGUAAGGAAAGAGCCUGUAAUCCCAGCACUUUGGGAGACCAAGGCAAGAGGAUUGCUUGAGCCUAGGAGUUUGAGACUAGCCUGGGCAACAUAGACCCCAUCUCAAAAAAAAUUAAAAAGUAGCCAGAUGUGGCACAUGUCUGUAGUCCCACCUACUUGGGAGGUUGAGGUGGGAGGAUCACUUGAACUUGGGAAGUCAAGGCUGCAAUGAGCUGUGAUCAGGCCACUAUACUCCAGCCUGGGCAAACGAGUGAGACCCUGUCUCAAAAACAAAAGGCAAAGAAAGGAAGGAAAGAAGUUCCUAAAAAUAUGAUGGAGACUUGUCAUAGGACAGAGGAGCCAGCUGGAAGGAACUCCCACUGACUAAAUCUGGGUCAUUUUGAGUGCUAAAACAAUUAAGUACAUUAAUGAAUUGUGAACUACUGUAAGAAAAAUGAAUCAUGCAUAGAAUGUCAAGUGCCAACUGGUAAAUGUAGGAAUGCUGGAGUUGGCAGCUUAUUAUUCUUCAACCAUUGUGUUAAGGAUUGGAUCAGGCAAGAAUCAUCAAAGGAUCCUAAAUCUAGGGGCAGUUUCAAUGAGGAGCCAGGAUAUUUGCAUGCCUCCCACAUAUCUCAAGGGAAAAAUAAGUAAUUAUAAAAUGGGAAAAAUGGACACCUUGACCAGGUAAUAAAAAUUAACAUCAUUAAUGAAGGGCAUAUGGAAAUCCAUUAUACCUGGAGAAGGCCACAUAACUAAUUUAGAACUAUAUUCCAGUUAAGAAUGCAUAACCUGAAUUCAGUCAUGAGGUAGCAUCACACAAACCCCAAAUUAGGAAUGUUCUGUUACAAGGAGGGGGAUCAUAUUCUUCAAAAAUGUGUCAUGUAAGACAGAAUGUGGAACAGGUCUAGGUCAAAGGAAGCUAAAAAGACUGGACAACUAGGCAGUGCCUGUCUUAGACUGAAUGAGAACAAUGAGAUAAAAGACAUUGUUGAGCCAAUUGACAAAAUGGAUGACUAGACAACAAUGUUUCAAUGUUAAAUGUGCUGAAGCUAUUAACAAUACUGUGGUUUUAUCAGAGAAUAACCAUAUUCUUAGGAAAUAAAUCUAAGAAGUGUUUAAGAAUAAAGUACCAUGAUUAUACUGUGUAAUGGUUCAAAAAACGUGUGUGUGUGUGUGUGUGUGUGUGUGUAUGUGUGUAAAGAGAGAACAAAAGCAAACAGAAUAAAAUGGUAUUAGUAGGUGAAUCUGGGUGAAAGAAUAUGGUGUAUUCUUUGUACCAUUCUUGCAACUGUUGUGGAAGUUAUAAAUUAUUUCCAAAUAAAAAUUUAAACAAUUCUUAGUUUAAAAAUUUAAAAUAUAGCACAUCUCAAGAAUUUUCUUAGUCAGCAGAUUUUAUCAGACUGUACUCUGGGAUCAUCAGUUUUGGAUUAUUUCCUUUGAUGUGUUGAUGAAGCACUAAACUGAAAGCAAUAGGAAAUUUUCUUUAUAACCAUAGUUUCUAACUACUGAAGGCCAUUAGCUUCUGUUUGGAGAUUGUAUUGGAUACAUUUAUUUUCCACAAAUAAAACAAGGUCUCUAAUUUUCACUUGUACCUCUAGCUAAAUAAAAGAGGGAAAGUGGCCAGGUGCUCAUGCCUAUAAUCCCAUUACUUUGGGAGGCCAAGGUGGAUGGAUCACCUGAGGUCAGGAGUUCGACACUAGCUUGGCCAACAUGGUGAAACCCUGUUUCUACUAAAAAUAGAAAAAUUAGUCAGGCAUGGUGGUAAACACCUGUAAUCCCAGCCACCUGGGAGGCUGUGGCAGAAGAAUCGCCUGAACCUAGUAGGUGGAGAUUGCAGUGAGCUGAGAUUGCUUACUGCACUCCAGCCUGGGUGACAGAGACUCCGUCUCAGAAAAAGAAAGAGGGUAAGUGAAUUUGUUCAUACAUUAUCCUCAAAGAUCUUUACAGCUGCAUUGCAUUUCAGAUUGUUACCUAGGUCUUAGUUUAGUUUACUAUGACCCCAAAGUUAGGAUUAUUGCCUACCAGGAAUCAGUAAUGCUAUUGCAAUAAAAAAGGGAAGUGUUUAAGUAAAGUGCUCUAAUUUGGAAGCAUUAACACAGUUUAUAUUUUUUGUUCUUCAAACAAAAAAAUUGAGUGAAGUUAAAGUUGGCAAACAAGAUCAAUUUUGGCUUUUGCAUUAACCUCAAGAAAAAUAACUACUGUUAAAUGGACUGUCAGAGAUUUAGUCCACAAAUGCUAGGUGUUUAACAAAAAGAAAAAUAGUUUUAUUUUUGAAAUUUAAAGAAAGAAAUUAAAAUAUAAGACAGGCAUGGUGGCUUACUCCCUUAAUCCCAGCACUUUGGGAGGCUGAGGUCAGUGGAUCACCUGAGGUCAGGAGUUUAAGACCAGCCUGACCAACAUGGGGAAACCCCAUCUCUACUAAAAAUACAAAAUUAGUUGGGCGUGGUGGUGCAGGCCUGUAAUCCCAGCUACUUGGGAGGCUGAGGCAGGAGAAUCUCUUGAAUCCAGGAGGCGGAGGUUCUGGUGAGCCAAGAUUGCGCUGUUGCACUCCAGCCUGAGCAAUGAGAGGAGAGGAAAACUCCUUCUCAAAAAAAAAAAUUAUAAAAUUCAGAAACAGAACUUUUGCUCAUGGCCAUAUAAUAAUAAAUAGAAAGUUUGGUGAUGGUGAGUUUUUUUCUCCUUUAUACUUUUUCCUUAAUGCAGGGCAUGGUGGCUCAUGCUUGUAAUCCCAGCAUUUUGGGAGGCAAAGGCAGGUGGAUCACUUGAGCCUAGCAGUUUGAAACCAGUCUGGGCAACAUGGUGAAACCCUAUCUCUACUAAAAAUACAAAAAUUAGCCAGGCACAGUGGCAUGCACCUGUGAUCCCAGCUACUUGGGUGGUUGAGAUGGGGAGGAUCGCUUGAGCCUGGGAGGUAGAAGUUGCUAAUGGCCGAGAUUGUGCCACUGCACUCCAGCUUAGAGUACAGGGUGAGAACCUGUCUCCAAAAAAAUUUUUUUAAUGAAAAAUUCCAGUUACUGAAUAUUUAACAUAAAAAUUUUUAUCAAAAACACAUUUUUAAAUUACUAAAAACUGGCCAGGCAUGGUGGCUCACGCCUGUAAUCCAGCACUUUGGGAGGCCAAGUUGGGUAGAUCACUUGAGGUUAGGAGUUUGAGACAGCCUGACUAACAUGGAGAAACCCCAUCUCUACUAAAAAUACAAAAAAUUAACUGGGCUUGAUGGUGGCUGCUUGUAAUCCCAGCUACUCCGGAGACUGAGGCAUGAGAACACUGGAACCUGGGAGGUGGAGGUUGUAGUGAGCAGAGAUCACACCAUUGCACUUCAGCCUAGGCAACAGAGUGAGACACCAUGUCUAAAUAAGUCUCAAAAUAAAUAAAAUAAAAUAACUAAAAACUUGUGCAAACCUAGCAAAGAAAGAAGUGGAUGGCUAGGCAUGGUGGCUCACACCUGUAAUCCUGGUUUUGAGAAAAAUGAUUUAAAAUAAUCUAUAAUCAGUCUUUUCCUCCCUUUGUCAGUUUCUGCUGGUAUCAUAGAGGUAAGAGAAGUUAUAUUUUAAAUAGUAAUUUAAUAUGUAUUAUAAGAUGUUUUUUGUUUAUUACAAAAUCUGUGAACCUUGGCACUUCCUAAUGAAACACUUAUAAUAUCAUUCAAUAAAGUUACGUGUUCAUUUUAUGGUAUGUAAACUAUACCUUAAUUAAAAUAUUAAAAUAAAAUGUUCAUUAUUAAAUCUUGUGAGAAGAGUGUUCACUGAAAAAUUAUCUCUAUACUUCACAUACCACAUUUUUGUGAUGGCUGAUGAAGCCUUGCUUUUGCAUAGCUUUUUGUUUGUUUGUUUGUUUGUUUGAGAUAUAAUCUUACUUUGUUGCCCAGGCUGGAGUGCAGUGGUGCAAUCUUGGCUCACUGCAACCUCUGCCUCCUGGGUUCAAGUGAAUCUUGUGUCUCAGCCUCUCAAGUAGCUGGGAUUAUAGGUGGAUGCCACCACACACAGCUAAUUUUUGCAUAUUUAGUAGAGAUGGAGUUUUGCCAUGUUGGUCAUGCUGGUCUUCAACUCCUGACCUCAGGUGAUCCACCCUCCUUGGCCUUCCAAAGUGCUGGGAUUACAGGCAUGAGCCACCUUUUCCGGCCUGCCUAGUAUUCUAUAUUUUAAUAGUGCUAUCACUUCCAUAAACUUUUUAAAGAUAUUUUCUUAACAUUUAGGUAGUUUAGUAAAAACCAGCCUAAUGAGUAGAAUGGUAAUUGAAGUAGCUGUGUUUCUCUGACAGAGAUGACUUACAGUUUAUCUUCCUUUAAGUUUUUACUUAUCAUUAUAUUGGUAGACAAUAAGUGUCAAGUGUUCAUAUUUUGGGCCCCCAACAGAGAAUGUGUUAAAACUUUUAAAUUUGAAAUUAUUUCAAAGUUAUUUAAGAAGUUACAAAAAUAGUACAAAGAACUCCCAUAUUACACUUUACUCACAUUCACCAAUUGUUAAUAUUUUGCUGUAUUUGCUCUAUCAUUCUUCCCCAAAUAGAUAAUAAUAUACUUCAUUAUGUUUUCUGAACUUCUUGCAGAUCAGUUGCAAGCAUCAUAUCUGAAUUAAUAUGUAUGUAGUAAUUGUCUUUUUGUCUGUCUUUUCUAAUAGACUCUGAAGUUCUUUGUGAGAGGGACUUUUAUAAUGCCCCUUUGUCUCCACAGUGACUAUAAUUACAAGGCUUUUCAUUUAUAGUAAUGAUGAGAUGUUUCUCUUUAAAAUACAUAUUUUUGGCUGGGCAUGGUGGCUCAUGCCUGCAAUCUCAGCACUUUGGGAGGCCAAGGCAGGCAGAUCACCUGAGGUCAGGGGUUUGAAACCAGUCUGACCAACAUGGUGAAACCUUGCCUCUACAAAAAUACAAAAAUUAGCCAGGUGUGAUGGCAGGUACCUGUAAUCCCAACUACUCAGGAGACUGAGGUAGGAGAAACACUUGAACCCACGAGGUGGAGGUUUGCAGUGAGCCAACACUGAGCCACUGUACUCCAGCCUGGGUGACAGAGCGAAACUCCGUCUCAAAAAAAAAAAAACAAAAAAACAUAUUUUUUAAAUGAGAUGAUUUGAAAAAAAUAUUAAAUAACAAACCACACCCAGCCUGAGUCUUUCAAGUUAUCUACUCUGUUUAAAAAGAAAACCAGUCUUUAAGUAAGUUUAUAUCUAUAGUAUUCUUUUACUUUCUUACACCCUUAAUUCAUCUUCUUUUGUUUAUAAAUUUUAGAGUUUGAAAGAAUUGUAUAAUUAUUACAAAGUUUAGAAACUUAUUUUAGAACAAUUUCUUGAUAAGAUUUCUGGAAUUGGUAUAAUUAACCUCCCUAACUCUAAAGUAAACAGGAUAGUUAAGUCAACAGCAAAGCAGGCACAAUUUUGUGUGUGCUUUUUUAAAUUACAUCAAUCUAAUUCAUUCUAUUCAGUGUUGAUGGUGAAAGUCAGUAUAUAGAUGUGGGAUCCUUUUCUUUAUAUUAUUUGUUAAAUUAAUAGUUGGAUCCUUGAUGAGAAAUGAAGAUUGAAUUGCAUCUGAAGCUGGCUUUAAAAAAUCACAUUCUUGGCUAGGCUCAGUGGCUCAUGCCUGUAAUCCCAGCACUUUGGGAGGCUGAGGCUGGUGGAUCACAAGGUCAGGAGUUGGAGACCAGCCUGACCAAUAUGGUCAAACUACGUCUCUACUAAAAAUACAAAAAUUAGCCAGGCAUGGUGACACACAACUGUAGUCCCAGCUACUCAGGAAGCUGAGGCAGAAGAAUCGCUUGAACCUGGGAGGCAGAAGUUGCAGUGAGCCAAGAUUGUGCCACUGCACUCCAGCCUGGGCAACAGAGUGAGACUCUGUCUCAAAAACAGUAAAAAAGAAAAAGAAAUCACAUUCUAAUUCAUUCUGUGUUCUUAAGAUUAGAAAUUUAUAUUUCCAGAGUCUGGCAGCAUUUGUCUUUAUCUCCCACCAAUCUAGAAAACAAAGCCUGUAUUCAAAGAAGCAGUUGUUGGCAUAGGGCCAUGGGUGGGUUAUUAGCUAUUGUCAAUGUAUAGUAAUAUUUCACUUAAAUGAGAAGGCCUGAAAGUCUUCAUUCAGGAAGCAAAACAAUGUAUAUUACAUUUUUAUACCUUUUUUUUGAGACAAAGUCUCACUCUGUCACCCAGGCUGGAGUACAGUGGUGCGAACUUGGCUCACUGCAACCUCCGCCUCCCAGGCUCAAGCAAUUCUCCUGCCUCAGCCUCUCAAGUAGCUGGGAUUACAGGCCCCUGCUACCAUACCCGGCAAAUUUCUUUUUUUUUUUUUUUUUUUUUUUUUUUUUGUAUUUUUAGUAGAGAUGGGGUUUCACCAUGUUGGCCAAGCUAGUCUCGAACUCCUGACCUCAGGUGAUCUACCUGCCUCAACCUUCCAAAGUGCUAGGAUUGCAGGCGUUAUCCAUUGCGCCCGGCCACAUUUUUAUACUUUUAAAAAUUACUAGUGUAACAUCUCAUGUACCCUAUAAAUAAGUAUACCUAUUAUAUACCCACAAAAAUAAAUAAUUAAAAAAAUAUUAGUGUAGAAGGCACAGGACAAGAAAAAUAAAGGUUUGCAUUAUUUAGGAAAAUAGUAAUUCUUUAAUGCAAUAGUAACAAGAUUCUAUUUAUACAUUAUUUUUUGUUCAUCAGAUAGUUUUCAUUCUGAAGUUUUGCUAGCUCUGCACUUCUGAAUGCCAGCCACUAUCCUGUAUCUACCUACCUACCUACCUUGCUCCUCUCCUCUCAAAAAGUAAUCCUUUUUUAUGUUGGGGUUCUUAAAAUUUUACAUUACUGCCUGGUGUGGUGGCUCAAGCCUGUAAUCCCAGCACUUUGGGAGGCCAAGGCGGGUGGAUCACGAGGUCAAGAGAUCGAAACCAUCCUGGUCAACAUGAUGAAACCCCGUCUCUACUAAAAAUACAAAAAAUUAGCUGGGCGUGGUGGCACGUGUCUGUAAUCCCGGCUACUCGGGAGGCUGAGGCAGGAGAAUUGCCUGAACCCAGGAGGCGGAAGUUGCAGUGAGCUGAAAUCGCAUCAUUGCACUCCAGCCUGGGUAACGAGCGAAACUCCGUCUCAAAAAAAAAAGAACCUAAAAAUGAUGAACAAAGCAAAACCUUGUGACUGACCUGGCUUUCACUGAAGAACUUUUCAUCUGUGAAAUAUAAGUCCCAAGCAAAUAUGCUGGAAUUGACCAGUGUUUAAAAAAUAAAUAUCUUCUGAAAUACUGGACAGAAUUGGAUGUAGAUCAUGGAAUUAUUUCCAUGUCUUUAUUUCAACAACUGCAAUUUUUCUUUUCUUUUUAAGAUUUCCAAUUCCAUGUGUAUCCCUCUCUUCCUGCCUUAACUGUGUGUCAUUUUCUUAUAAUGUGCUUUCUGAUUACUGAGCAUUUUCUGCAUAUUUUAUGUGCAAAAAACAAUUAUCCAUCUAAUAAUCAUUCAGUGGUUUCAGAUACAAACAUAUUAUAAUAGAGUCAUAGAUACAUGAAAACAUUUCAAAUACAUUCAAAACCAACAUGAAACUAGCCAUGAUUUGAGUAACAAGCAUCUUUAAAAUAAUGUUAAAUAGGCUGGGUGUGGCGGCUCACACCUGUAAUCCUAGCACUUUGGAAGUCCAAGGCAGGCAGCUCACGAGGUCAGGAGUUUGAGACCAGCCUGGGCAACAUGGUAAAAUCCUAUCUCUACUAAAAUACAAAAAAAUUAGCUGAGUGUGGUGGUGUGUACCUGUAAUCCCAGUUACUUGGGAGGCUGAGAAAGGAGAAUUGCUUGAACCUGCAAGGCAGAAUUUGCGGUGAGCCUAGAUCACACCAUUGCAGAGAUGGGGUUUUACCAUGUUGGCCAGGCUGGUCUCGAACUCCUGACCUUAGGUAAUCUGCCUGCCUUGGCCUCCCAAAGUGCUAGGAUUACAGGUGUGAGCCACUGCGCCCAACCUGAAACUGUUUUCUAAUACAAAGGUUUACUGCUGUAUUUUCUUCUUGGGUUUUAUAGCUCUUAUAUUGAGGUCUGUGAUCAUUUUGAGUUAAGUUUUAUAUAUGGCAUGAGGUAGGAAGUAUGACUUUGUUCUUUUGUUUAAUAUCCAGUUUUCCAGUAUCAUUUGUUAAAAAUAGUGUUUUUUCCAAUUGAAUUGUCUUAGCAGCCUUGUCAAAAAUCAGUUGAUCAUACAUGUAAGUGUUUAUUUCUGAACUCUUAAUUCUGUUCCAUUGAUCAGUAUGUCAAAGAUUAAUUGAUACUUAACCCAGGACCACACUGUCUUGAAAACUAUUGCUUUGUAAUUAGUUUUAAAAUAGAGAAAGCCAAGCUCUCCAACUUUGCUCUUCUUUUGCUUUCUUUCUUUCUUUCUUUUUUUGAGGGAGAAUUUCACUCUUGUUGCCCAGACUAGAGUACAAUGGUGUGAUCUCAGCUCACUACAACCUCCACUUUCAGGGUUCAAGCAAUUCUCCUGUCUUAGCCUCCCAAGUAGCUGGGAUUACAGGCUUGCACUACCACACCCAGCUAAAUUUUGUAUUUUUAAUAGAUACAGGGUUUCACCAUGUUGGCCAUGGCUGAUCUGACCUUGGAUGAUCCGCCCUCCUUGGCCUCCGAAAGUGCUGAGGUUAUAGGCAUGAUCCACAGCACCCAGCUUGUUCUUUUUCAAGAUUAUUAUGGCUGUUCUGGGUUCCUUGCAUUUCCUUAUGAAUUGUGAUCAGUUUUCCAUAUCUGCAAAAAAGACAACUGGGAUUUUGAUAGGCAGUUUGGGGAGUAUUGCUAUAUUAACAAUAGUAAGUCUUAUUAAUAAACAUGAGAUAUCUUUCCAUUUAUGUAGACCUUUGUUCAUUUCUUGCAACAGUGUUUUAUAGUUUACUCAGUGUACAAGUCUUACACUUCUUUGUUAAAUUUAUUCCUAAUUAUUUUUCAGAGUAGUUUUCUGUCUCUGGACAAGACAGCUGCAUGUACUGUAUAUACCAGUUACAAGAAAUUAUUUUGCAAAAAUUUUAGCUGUGGUAAAAUACCCCACAGCUAAAAUAAAAUGUAAAAUUUACCAUCUUACCAUUUUUAAGUGUACAGUUCAGUAUAGUUCAUAUUGUCAUACAAUCUAUCUCCAGAACUGUUCACCUUCACGUACCGAAACUCUGUACCCAUUACAUAACAACUCACUAUUAUCCCUUCUCCUCAGGACCUUCAAGCACCCUCUACUUUCUGUCUGUAUGAAUUUGGCUAUUCUAAGUACAUCAUAUAAAUAGAAUGUCAUAUUUGUCUUUUUGCAACUAGCUCCUUUCACUUAGCAUAAUAUCAUCAAGGUUCAUCCAUCACAAGAUGCUACACAUGCUACAAAGCAUGUUUUAGCAUUUUCUUUCUUUCUUUUUUUAAGUCUGGAUAAUCCAUUUUAUGCAAAUACCACAUUUAUUCAUUCAUCAUGGACACUUGGGUUACUUCUACCUCUUGGCUAUUAUGAUUAAAGCUUCAAUGAAUGUGGGUUUACAAAUAUCUCUUUGAGACCCUGGUUUCAGUUCCUUGGGAUGUAUACCAAGAAAUAGAAUUGCUGAAUCAUAUGAUAAUCAUGCUAUUUUUAAUUUUUUUUUUUUUUUAAGAGACAGGGUCUUGCUUUGUUGCCCAGACUGGAAUGCAGUGGUACGAUCAUAGCUCACUGUAAUCUUGAACUCCUGGGCUCAAGUGAUCCUCCUACCUCAGCCUCCUGGGUAGCUAGGAUUACAGGCACAUGACCCCAUGCCUGGCUAAUUUAAAAAUUUUAUUUUAGAGAUAGGAUCUUGCUAUUGCUGCCAGGUUGGUUGUGAACAUUUGGCCUGAAGUAAUCCUCUCUGGGUGACAUAGGCAGAGGGAUGUUUGACACAGAAGAGGAGAAGACAGUGUGACCAUGGAGACAAAGAUUGGAGUAAUGCAAUGACAAUCGAAGGAGUGCUAGGAAAUCCAAGGAAAGCUGGCAGAGGAAAAUAAUGGACUUUCCCCUAGAGCCUCCUGGGUAGUGGCAGCUGUAGUCCUACCACCAUCUUGAUUUGACCCAGGAAACUUUACUUUAUAUUUCUGUUUUCUAGAACAAUGAAAGGAUAAAUUUUUACAGUCAGCAAAGUUAUGACAAAUUUGUUAUACCAGCCAUUGGAAACUAAUGUAUCCCCAGAGAAAAGUUAACAAGCCAUGUUUGCUUUUAGAAAUGCGGAACAGUCUUGGUGAAGUGGCUUACACCUAUAAUCCCAGCACUUUAGGAGGCUGAGGUGGGCAGCUCAUGAGAUCAGGAGAUCUAGACCAUCCUGGCUAACAUGGUGAAACUCUGUCUCUACUAAAACUACAAAAAAUUAGCUGGGCGUGGUUAAACAAACCUGUAGUCCCAGCUACUCGGGAGGCUGAGGCAGGAGAAUCACUUGAACCUGGGAGGCAGAGGUUGCAGUGAGCCAACAUCGUACCACUGCAUUCCAGCCUAGGUGACAGAGUGAGACUCAAAAAAAAGAAAAAGAAACACAGAACAAAUCCAUCUCACUUCUGCCUUCCAAAUUUUUCUAAGUACAUUGAGUUGGCUGAUGCUACAUUAAAUCUGGAAUCCUAAAUGCAAGAGAGUUUAGAAAAUGUAGGAUUUUUACUUUUUAACCUUUGCACUUCAGGAAGGGACACUAUAAUAGAAUGAAGCCUGAAUGGAUGUUAAGGGGCAGUCUGCCAUAUCUUAUUAAAGUAUUUUUUUCUCAGCUAACUCUCUGGGAGAAUGAGAUUUACAGAGAAGGCAGUAAAUGGAGUGGAGUUUUUUUUUUUUUUUUUUUUUUUUAAAGAUGAAUAUAGAGGAUAUUUCUAUUCCAGUCCAAAAUUUCCUGUGUCUCUGUCAGUAUUUGUUUUUUCAAGAAGCAGUCACAGUUUAUCUGUGCCACUGCCCUUUAGCUUGCUGAUCUUUCUUUGCCGCCUGCUCCUUCGUGCCUUCCUUCAGGCACAUUUUAGUGUUUCUAGUCCAUGGACUGUGGUGAUGUCUUUCUAAGCACAUAUACAAACAUCCUUAGGAGAUCAGGUACAGUGGCUCAUGCCUGUAAUCCCAGCACUUUGGGAGGCCAAGGUGGGCGGAUCACUUGGCUAACAUGAUGAAACCUUGUCUCUACUAAAAAUACAAAAAUGAGCUGUGCGUAGUUAUGGGUGACUGUAAUCCCAGCUACUCAGGAGGCUGAGACAGGAGAAUUGCUUGAACUGGGGAGGCCGAGGUCGUAGUGAGCCAAGAUCACACCACUGCAUUCCAGCCUGGGUGACAGAGCAAGACUCUGUCUCAAAAACAAAAAAGAUCCUUAGGAUAUUGUCAUAGACUUCCCUUUUCCCCACCACCCCAAUUCUGAGUUAAUUCAGCUGACCAAAUAUUUGAGUCUAAGCACUCAAGGCCACCGGAAACUAAUGUACCCCCAGAGAAAAGUUAACAAGCCAUGUUCUGGGUGAAGUGGCUUACACCUAUAAUCCCAGCACUUUAGGAUGCCGAGGUGGGCAGCUCAUGAGAUCAGGAGAUCUAGACCAUCCUGGCUAACAUGGUGAAAACCUGUCUCUACUAAAACUACAAAAAGGCAUGAAAACAGUUGUAUUUUUUGAAAAUGACUUAAACAUCCAUUUUAAAAAGUUAUGCCAUGGUAAUAAAUAAGAAAUGAUUAGCCGUAACACAGUGUAUGGUGAUGACAUGGUUUGCCAGGGUAUUAAAGUCGGACAUGUACUCUCUCCUAGGGGCAGCAGCAUGAGGUCUUUAGAAAAGUAUUUGGCAGCUUCAGCAUAUCUGAGCAACAUUUCUCAAGAACUUUUGUUUAUGUAACUUCCUCUAAAUCAAUCAAUAAAUAAAUCAAUCUUUUUGCUGUUGUACGUGGCUUAUAAUAGAACCAAUAGCCCGAGUUAACUCAGCUGCCCAGGUAUUUGAGAAUCCAAGCACGUAGGGCAUUUAAUAGUUUCAUUAGAAUGAUUUUUAAAUUACCCAUUUCUAAAAAUUAUGCCAGAGUAAUAAAUAAGAAGUGAUUAGCUAUAACACAGUUUGUGGUAAUGAUGUGGUUUCUCAGGGUGUUAAAAUUGUUUGUUAAUGUCACAGGACCAUGUGAUUUCAGAUUAGGUGAAACAAAUUUUACAGAUAAUCACAGAGACCUCCGAGAAGUAUGUUUGAUACCACACAUGCUUUGAUGGUUCUAGUUCAUUUAUGUGUUUGUUGGAACGCAUUGCAUAUUAUACUUUUCUUUCCUUAAUCCAUUUAAUGGGAAGAAAAACCAAGAGAAUACAUCCAGAAGAUAUUGGAACUGUAUCCAUUUUUAAAAUUUUUAAUUAUUCUGCUCUUUUGGAGUUAGGCUAUCUAAAUUCCAAACCCAGUAUUUUCAUUUCUGAGAAUUUAUCCUACACAUAUAAAUACAUAUAUUUUUGAAAUGAUUGUAAACAAGAAUAUUUGUUAUAUUUACAGCAAAAGUGGAAAGAACUAAAUGUACAUCAAUAGAGGUAUAAUGGGACAUUAUGAAGCUUUAAAAAGAUUUUAAAGGCUCUCUCUGGACUAAUUAUAGAAGGACCCCCAUGAUAUAUUGUUAAGUAUUGUGUAUUUUCAUACUUGCUUCUAUAUCCAUAAAGAAAUUCUGAAAGAAUAAGCCACAGAAUCUAGACAGUAAUUGCGUAUGUAUGAGUCUGUGUGUAUGGGGGAAGUUGGGUUGUUGGGAUAUGGGGGUGUGAAGACUCUUUACUUUUUAUCUUAAAAUAUUUGUGUCAAUGUAUUACCUAUUUAAAAAAUUUUAAAAUGAAAAAUGUUUAAACUUCAGAAAUAUCUUGAGAGCAGAACAUAUCAAGAUCUGACUUUCUGGGUAGAACUUUCUGCUUCUACACCAGAGAGUAGCAUUUACACCAGGAAGAUUCAGUUGCAUGUAGUAAAGAGGUUGAAAGAUAUUUUACUGUGUCUGAAAGAAAAGUAUGGUCCUGUAAAUAAAUAAAUAUAGGACAUCUUUUUAAACUUUAAAAUAGUAUUCCUGACUGGUUAUAACCACUGGUCAGUCUUCCAGACUAGCAGUAACUGAUAUGAUUCCACCCCUCACUAUUCUAGUCUUUUUAAUUUUCAGUAUAAUCUUAUUAUUUUUUUUGAGAUGGAGUCUUGCUCUGUUGCCUAGGCUGGAGUUCAGUGGCGUGAUCUCGGCUCACUGUAACCUCCACCUCCCAGGUUCAGGCAGUUUUCCUGCCUCAGCCUCCUGAGUAGCUGGGACUAUAGGCAUGUACCACCAACACCUAGCUAAUUUUUGUAAUUUUAGUAGAGGUAGGGUUUCGCUAUGUUGGUGAGGCUAUUCUUGAACUUUUUUCCUCAGGUGAUUGACUGCCUCACCCUUCCAAGGCACUGGCAUUACCUGCAUGAGCCUCUGCAUGCUACUGUGCUCGACCUAUUUCUAGUAUAAUCUUGUCCUUAGUGUUCCUCAUCAUGUAUUUAUUCAUGCAUUCAUUCAUUAAACAGGUAUUGAAUACACACUAUGCAUGCAAGCUGGUGUGCAAAUAUUGACAAUAAAGAGGUGAACAGGAUUUUGUUUUUCAUCCUCUUUUUUACCCUCACCCAUGAACUCCUGUUGAGGGUGUAAGGGUGGAUAUGUGGGGAAGGGAUAUAAGUAGAUUGGAAUAUUGUACUUAUGUCAAUAAUUACAAUAUUAUGACAUAAGUACUAACAGUAUUAUAAAGCAUUUUAUAAAUACUCAAAAUUUUGUGACUGAGUUAGGUAUUUUUAUGUAUAUUCUCAAUAUUUAAAAAAUAAAACAUCAUCUUUUGAAAAAGGUGAGAACUAUCCUUAAACCUUUGUUUAAAAAUGUAAAAUUUACUAUUUUAAUCUUUAAAAAAAAAAGAGUCAGGGUCCCAUUUUGUCUCUCAGGCUGGAGUGCAGUGGAGUGGCAUGAUCAUAGCUCACAGCAGCCUCAAACUUCUGGGCUCAAGUGAUCUUUCCACUUCAGCCUCCCUGGUAGCUAGAAUUUUUCUUGUAGAGACAGGGUCUUGCUGUGUUCCCAGGAUGGUCUGAAACUCCUCGCUUCAAGAAAUCCUUCUGCCUUGACCUCCCCAAGUGCUAGGAUUACAGGUAUGAGCCAGCAUGCCCAGAGAUUAACCAUUUUAAAAAAUACAAAAUUUACUGUCAUAGUAUAUUUACGUGCAUGGCUUUAAUAGCAUUGUGUACAUUCACAUUGUUGUAUAACCAACCUCCAGACCUCUUUGUCUUGCAAAACUGAAACUCUAUAGGCAUUAAACAACUCACCAAUCUCCCCUACUAACCCUUGGCAAUUACCAUUCUACUUUCUAUCUGAUGAAUUUGACUACUUUAGGUACCUCAUAUAAUAAGGUAUCUUUUUGUUACCUUUUUUUUUUUUUGAGAUGGAGUUUUGCUCUUAUUGUCCAGGCUGGAAUGCAGCAGCACAAUCUUGGUUCCUGAGUAGCUGGGAUUACAGGUGGUCACCAUCACGCCCAGCUAAGUUUUUGUAUUUUAUUUUAUUUUCUUUUUUCUUUCUUUUUUUUUUUUGAGAUGGAGUCUUGCUCUGUCACCAGGCUGGAGUGUAGUGGAAUGAUCUCACCUCACCGCAGCCUCUGCACCCACUUCCGAGUAGCUGGGACUACAGGUGUACACCACCACACGGUUAAUUUUUGUAUUUUUGGUAGAGACAGGGUUUCUCCAUGUUGGCCAGGAUGAUCUCGAUCUCUUGACCUCAUGAUCCAACUGCCUUGGCCUCCCAAAGUGCUGGGAUUACAGGCGUGAGCCACCGCACCUGGCCAAUAUUUUGUAUUUUCAGUAGAGAUGGGGUUUCACUAUGUUGGCCAGGUUGGUCUCGAACACCUGACCAUAGGCCAUCCACCCUCCUUGGCCUCCCAAAGUGCUGGGAUUACAUGUGUAAGCCACCUCACCCAGUCCUGGUUACUUUUUAAUACUAUUUUAUGUACUGUUUUUCAUAAAUGGAGAUAUGAAAAAGCAGAAGACCACGUAGCUAAGGGAACAAAAAGAAAGGAAUAAGAUAAUUACAAAAGUAAAACCAGUGGUAAUUAAGAAUACCUCAGGAUAAUUGCAAAAGUUAAAGGCAGUGGUAAUUAAGAACACCCCAGGAUUUAAGUAGCAAUAGAUGGAAUUCCUAUAAUUUAACCUGGAGAGAAAGUUAGAAUAUAAUUAGACUAAGACAAGGUACUAAAGAUAGAAAUAGAUUUAAAGUUGUAUUUUAAAGUUUAUACAUCUCACAAAUGGUAAAUAAAUGUUGAUCUUUGGGAAUAUUACAUAUCUUACUACACAAAACACCUGAAGUGCUUUGUUUUAAAUAAACAAACAUGAUUACUUUUUCCAGUGUAAAAAAUUCAUUCUGUAGUUAGUAGUGGGAUUCUGCUCAUUAUUUAUAGACUCCUUUGUUUAGAUGAAAUUGUGUCUAUAAUUGUGAUUAAAAAUAUGGACACAAUUUUUAGAAAACUGAAAGUUAUAUAUAUUCAUAUAUACCCAUGUAAGAUAUUACAUGGGCAGUAGUAGGCAUACUAAUGUAUUAGUCAGCUGUUACUGAUGAUACUUCAUCAGCAAGCCUCCCUAAGCUCAGUAGUUUUAACAAACAUUUAUUUUCAUAAUCAUAUGUCUGUAGAUCAGCUGGAUUUGGCUGAUCUAGGCAGGAUUCAGUUUCAGACUUCCGGAUCAAUUCAUAUCUUUUUGUCUGGGACCCAGGAUCAGUGGGCAACUCAGGACAAGUUCCUAUCAGUAAUGGAUUGCCUGCUUACAAGGAGUGCAAACCCAAGUAUCCAAGCAUCUUUUAGAUUUCUGCUCACUUUAUAUUUGUCAGCUUCUCAUUGGUCAAUCAAGUUAAGUAGCCAGAUUCAAAGUCAAGGAGAAAGGAGCUACACUCUAUCUAUCAUGAGGCUAUGGUAAGAAGGUGGAUACAUUUUCAUUAUAGGGAAGGGACAAUUUUAGGAAACAAAGAGAGUUACCUUCUAAAGUUAAAAGAUGUGUACACACACACACAAGAGAUAGUACCAAAUAUAUAGCUACUCAAAGAUAUAGGGGUGUGUGUGUAUGUGUGUGUGUACAUAUAUAGGUGUAUAGUAUAUAUAUAAAUGUAUAGGUGCCAAUAUGUACGUGUGUGUGUAUAUACAUAUAUAUGUAUAUAUACGUGUAUGUAUGUGUAUAUGUAUAUAUGUGUGUAUAUAUACAAAAGAUAGAGUUGGAUUAAAAAUAGAACUUCCUGCAUAUGCCAGAAUUUCUCCAGUGCUUCUAAGCAGGACAUGUAAGUGCCUCUGAAACUCAUUUGCAGACAGAAAUAUGUACAGGGAGAAAGAACGUAAAAGAAAAAGAAGGGUAAGGAGUAAGUAGGAUUAGGGAAAAGAAGUGCCUGUUUUAGAGAUAAAGUAGCAACAACAAUUAAUCUAAACUCCCCUUAGGGUCAUCAGUGCCCUUGAUACUCUGUUACUUCCUUACUCUCAUUAUAUAAGGAGUAUCGUUUAUAGAAACUGAGCAAUGUUGUUUUUUCUUUUGGAGACAGAGUCUUGCUCUGUUGCCCAGGCUGCAGUGGCGCAAUUUUCACUCAUUGCAACCUCAGCUUCCCAGGUUCAGUUGAUUCUCCUACCUGAGUAGCUGGGUCUACAGGCAUGCACCACCAUGCCUGGCUAAUUUUUGUAUUUUUGGUAGAGAUGGGGUCUCAUUAUAUUGGCCAGACUGGUCUGGAACACCUAGGCUCAAACGAUCCACCUGCCAUGGCCUCCCAAAGUGCUGGGAUUACAGGUGUGAGGCACCAUGCUGGGCCUGUGCAAAUGAUUAUGGACAGGCUUGAGAAAAAUCAGUAACAAUCUGAGGGAGACAAAUUCUUUUUUUGUGUGUGAGAUGGAGUCUUUCCCUGUUGCCCAGGCUGGGGUGCAGUGGCACAAUCUUGGCUCACUGCAACCUCCAUCUCCUGGGUUCAAGCAAUUCUUCUGCCCCAGCCUCUCGAGUAACUGGGACUACAGUCGAGCACUACCAUGCCCGCUAGUCUUUGUAUUUUUAGUAGAGAUGGGGUUUCACCAUAUUGGCCAGGCUGGUCUUGGACUCCUGACCUUGUGAUCUGCCCACCUCAGCCUCCCAAAGUGCUGAGAUUACAGACAUGAGCCCCACACCCAGCCCUAAAAUUCUUUUUAAUAUCUUUUCACAGAAGACCAGAUGUGCAUGUUUAGUAGGAGUCUUUUGUCAGAUUGUUAAAAAAAAAUUACAAUAGAUAUUUUGGGGACAAGAGAACAAUUGUGGGAACUCGAAAAGAUGAAUUAAAGAUUUUGGUGGUUUUGGAAAUGGAUUAAGGAUUAUUUUCUGAAUAGCAUUAGUUUCAUAAAGCCUUGUCCAGUUUAUGCUUAAGAUAUAUUUCCCUCCACUCUUUUUUUUUUUUUUUUUGAAACACUGUCACACAGGCUGGAGUGCAGUAGAAUGAUUAUGGCUUACUGUAGCUUCAGCCUCUCAGGCUCAAGCAAUCUUCUCACCUCAGCCUACUGAAUAGCUGGAACUACAUGUGUGUGCCACUACGUCUGGCUAAUCUUUUAAUUUUUUGUGGAGAUGGGGUCUUUGUAGGUUGUCUAGUCUGGUCUUGAACUAAUGGGCUUAAGUGAUCCUCCCACUUUCGGCUCUGAAAGUACUGAGAUUACAGUCGUGAGCCACUGCUCUGAGCCCAUCCUAUCUCUUUAUUCCUAAGCUUUUUUGUCUAUUUUGUUCCUACACUGGGUGCAUCUCUUUUUUUUUUUUUCCUGAGACAGAGUCUUGCUCUGUCACCCAGGCUGGAGUGCAGUGGCACGAUCUCAGCUCACUGCAACCUUUGCCUCCCUGACUCAAGCAAUUCUCCUGUCUCAGCCUCCUGAGUAGCUGGGACUAUAGGCACCUGCCACCAUGCCUGGCUGAUUGUUGUAUUUUUAGUAGUCACAAGGUUUCACCAUGUUGGCCAGGAUGGUCUUGAUCUCUUGACCUCGUGAUCCGCCCACCUCGGCUUCCCAAAGUGUUGGGAUUAUGGGAGUCAGCCACUGUGCCCAGCAUAUAUAUUGUAACUUUAAAGUUUAAAAAACAGAAAUCAGGCCGGGCACAGUGGCUCAUGCUUGUAAUCCCAGCACUUUGGGAGGCUGAGGCAGGUGGUUCACUUGAGGCUAGGAGUUUGAGACCAGCCUGGCCAACAUAGCGAAAACCUGUCUUUACUAAAAAUACAAAAAUUAGCUGGGCCUGGUGAUGGGCACCUAUAAUCCCAGCUACCCAGGAGGUUGAGGCAGGAGAAAUCACUUGAACCCUGGAGGUGGAGGUUGUAGUGAGUGGAGAUUGUGCCAUUGCACUCCAGCCUGGGCAACAAAAACAAAACUUUGUGUCUCAAAAAAAAAAAAAAAAAAAAAAAAGGGAAAUCAUUGUGGGAAAUCAGAAAGCUAGAGCAAGGGAAAAAAACUAGGAAGCAGACCAGCAAAAAUUUAGUAGGAAAAAAAACUAUUCAUUUUUCUCCGAAUAUCUAUCUUGUUUUCCUUAUAAGAGAGCAAAGGUUGCUAUGAUAAUUAAAAGACCAUGAAAUGGAUUGAGGGAGUUGCCCGCAUGAUGCGAUUCAUGUUUUGUUGUUCAGUCAGUAAAUAACUGGAAGGCAUAGCUUUCACUUUGAUAGUCAGAUUAUUAGUUCAUGGUAAUUUUCUGAAAACAGAGGUCUUGAGUAUGGAUUCUGAAUUUAGAAUUGUCAUCUUGUGGAGCAGUUAGGAAAAUUGACGAGAGAUCUUUGAGUGACAUUCUUUGGUUUGGUUCUAUAUUGUGAGUCUUGUGAAUUUUCUGUAUUGUAAAUUUUAUUUUUAAUUUGUUUGUUUUAAAUAAUGAUUAUUAUAAUGACUAGGUUUUCUAUUGGUAACAGGCUUAAAUGGACGUUUCUUACUCAAUUAGGUUAUUGGUGUUUUUUAAGAAUUAUUAAAUACUUUUUUAAAAAGUUGUAUAGAGUAACAAACACUGUUCUAUCAUAACUAAAAAGUCCAAUCUUAGUACAAUAGAGGUAAUUAAACUAGAAUUAUACCAGAAAUACUUUGAGAGCAUAUUUAAUGGUAUUUUCUUUAUACUUUAAUAAAUGUUUUAAUAUACAAUGGUCUGCAAAUUAAUUCUUCCAUUUUUCUCAUAUUUUAAAAAUUCCCAGUUUAUUAAAUUUGAUCUUUCCGUUUUUUAAGGAUUUUAUUCCAAUCAAAUAUAAUUGUUUUAAUUCAUUCUUUAAUAAAAUAAAUUGCCGAAAUUAUCUCUCCUAAUUAUAAAACAGCCAGUUAAAAUACAUUCUAAAGAAAUUAAAAUUGUAAAUACUUACGAAGCUAAAAGUUAAGGAGGAGGGGCACUGAAUGUCUUGACCAUUUUUUCCUGUCUUUUCUAAUAUUUAUCUCUCUCCUUCAGUUUUUCACUGUUUCUUUCAUAAUUCACUCAUCAUUUGAGUCAUCAAAUGCCUUAAUUCAAUUAGCAAAGUAUGAGCUAUUUUUCUUUGUUGUUGUUAUUUUUUACUUUUUCUUCUGGGCUAGAUCUAUUAAAAAUAAUUAACAAGUUACAUUUAAACCAGUCUUUCAUAUUCAGUAUUAACUACUUGUUUGAAAAAUUAAAACAAGAAAUCUGCCCCCUCUCAGUUUGUUUUUAGGGCAUUAAAUAUAAAUAUUAGUCUGAUUAUGAUUACUGCCAUUCCAGACAUAUUAAUUAAAAUAAAUCAACAUUGUUUAUUUCCUAUAAAAACAUUUGUUCAAAAUAUUGAGCUCCAUAAUGAAUUAUAGUACAGAAACAAUAUUUUAACAAUUUGGAUUAUUUUGCCAGGGAAUCCAUUUAACUCUGAUCACAUUGUUUUGGAUUUAAAUGUUUUUCUCUACUUGUAUGAAAAAUACAUUGCUUGAAAACUACAAAAACUAAUCCCCAAUUUGCCUUUCUACAGAGUGGUAAAAGAUUAAGGAGCUGUCAUAACCACUGGUGUGUUAUAUUUAAGCUUCUCUUUGCCGCUUGCUGCACGUGUAACAGUGUUGUUCUUUCUUUGACACAGACCCAGACAAAGGCCUAGUGUAGCAAGGAAACAGACAGAAUGCCUCCAUUAGCGGCACCGGCCUGGCUCCAGGAUUUGUAAACAGAAACAUCCCAGGCUCCAAUGAGACAGACAGAGGUUCCCUGUCUGUUCUGCAUUCAGGAAGUCCUUGCUUGUAUAAGCCCAGCUAUUGCACACAGGCACAUAGCAGUGUUUACAUUUGGCUAAGUAUUUUACUGAGAAAACUAAUAGGGAAGAAAAAGAGGGUUUAUUAGAGGUAGGAGAACAAGGCAAUUCAGGUAUAACAUACAUGUAGUAUAUGUUAUAUAAUGAUUAAGUGGAACUCGUAUAAUAAUGAGAGAGAGAUUCACUCUGAUGAGGCAGAGGAAUUUAUCUUGAUCACUGCUGUUUUUGCAGUCUAUCUCAAAGUGUGUGGCCCACUAGAAAAAGGGAGUUUUUUUUUUUUUUUUAAGAAACAGACAAUAAAAAAUAGGAGUUUCUAGUUAAAGGCCUCUUUUAUUGCACAUACAUGUGAAUACCCAUAUUGAAAUAUUUUACUGGCAGUUUUUCAGGGAUCUCAUAUUUUUAGACUAUGUGACAUAGCCUUGCAAAGUUUUUAUUUGAAAUUUAACCAGUCAUGGUUUAUAAUGAAACGGGAAAAGUUCCCUUGUCCUCCUUGCAGGGCAUGUGAUGUGGGAUGUAGCUUGUUUCUUCAGUGCCCCACUACUUAAACCUCUAGGGGAGCAUACAGAUAGGCAGGCUGUGGGGCUCUGACACCACAGCAGUGUCUAGGGGUGAAUGUUUACAGCUCCUGAAGUCUCAAUGGUCAUGUGUUACAGGGUGUUCUUUUGGUUUGCCAUCUAUAGGUGGCUUGUAGUAGCUCAGUUAGACCCUCUUCCUUAUCACAAGGACAGAGGGAUUUCUGUAUCCCAGUGUUUCCUGUCUUGGUGACAGAAUCGGAUCACACUUGGGCUUGGACAAUGAAUGCAAGGUUUAUUAGUAGAAGUAGCUCUCAGCAGAUGGGGCAGCCAGAAGGAAGAUAGUCUUUCCCUGGAGUUGGGUUGCUCGGUGGCCAGGGUCUCCUCCAUCUGCCCCAGCCAAACUGCGUCAUUUGGUUGAUGGCCUGCCGGUGCCUGCGGUGUGCUCUUCUGGCGCCUGUUGGUGUGCUCUUCUGCUAGACUGUCCCUCUCGACAACCAGCAGCUUGCGUCUUCUGCCAGUGUGCUCCUCUUGAUGUCUGGCCUGCUUGUGUGUCUGCCUGCUAGAGUUUUGGGCUUUUACAGUCCCAGGAUGGUGGUGUGGUGGGCCAUGGUGGUUUUGGAAAUGCAACAUUUGGGAGGGAAAGCGGAAGUGCCUGUUUUUACGUCUGUGGGGGUGGAGGCCUAGCCAGGAACCCAUGUUUCUCUACCCAGCGCUUCCCCCCCUCCUUCUGUAUUAUUUAAAGAGUCCACCCUCUUCCCUUCCCAGCACUAUAACAUGUUUAAAAUCUGUUUUUUUAAUCCUCUCCAAUGUAUGAAUUAAUAAUGCAUGUUUUAGAUUUUGAAUUAAUGAAUAUUUAAUGUAAAACUUUUGUUGCAUUUUCUUUUAUAAAUUUGAGAAUAAAAGCAAAGAAUGCUGAGCCUUCAAAAAGCUGUAUGAGAAGACUCGUAAUACAAAGUUUUGGAAGUAGAAGGACCUUAAAAGUCACUUAUGAGGUCACUUAUUUUUGUUUUAUCGUUUAAUGUAUUUUAAUAACAGGAAUAACAGGAACAGCAAAAAAACAGCAUUAAAAACAUGUCCUUGCCAGGUGCGGUAGCUCUCGCCUGCAAUCCCAGCACUUUGGGAGGCUGAGACGGGUGGAACACAAAGUCAGGAGAUGGAGACCAUCCUGGCCAACAUGGUGAAACCCUGUCUCUACUAAAAUACAAAAAAUUAGCCAAGAGUGGUGGUGCAUGCCUAUAGUCCCAGCUACUCCAGAGGCUGAGGCAGGGGAAUCACUGGAACCUGGGAGGCAGAGAUUGCAGUGAGCUGAAAUCACACCACUGCACUCCAGCUUGGCGAGACUCCGUCUCAAAAAACAAAACAAACAAAAAACCAUGUACUUGAAUGUAGGACAACUCAAAAAAGUGUAGUGAACAGAUGGAACCUAUUGUAUGAUUAAAAUGCUGCAAACAUAAUUUAUUUGCUGUCAAUAAGAAAUUUACUUAUUUUCCCAAAAAAUUGCAGGCAUUGUCCAGAAAAAUUUAACAGGUUUAUUUAUAAUUGUUAUGGCUAGGUGUGUGGUUUAUGCCUGUAAUUCCAGCACUUUGGGAGGCAAAUGCAGGCAGAUUGCUUGAGCCUGGGAGUUUGAGACCAACUUGAACAACAUGGCGCUACCAAAAAUAAAAAUUAGCCAGAUAUGUUGGCUCAUGGCUGUAGUCUCAGAUGUUUGGGAGACUGACUAAAAAUCCUACAAGCAGGUAAGGUGGAUGCUACAAAAUCUUUGUAUGAAAGCUCACAUAUGUUUUUUAGGGAAGUCCCUUAGGGUUUUAAGUCUGUUUUCUGUAACUUUACAUUCAUUUACAACGUUAGGCCUUUCGUUUUCAAACCCCAUGCUAGAUUCUAAAAAACACUAAGACAACAAGCACAUUGACAAAUUAAAAACAAUAGACAAAGAAUGAGCUGGAAAACUGGAAAAUCAGACAAAAUAACUUUAAAGAACUCCAGUGAUCUGAGAAUUUCUAACAGGCCCUGAGAAUAUCACCCUAGACUAAUUGAUACUCAAAAUGGUAACUCUAGUCUUGUAGGUGUUCAGUAUAUUUAGGGGAGCAGGAAAGAUGCUUUGUAUUCUUUUUUUUUUGAGACAGAAUUUUGCUCUAUCACCAAGCUACAGUGCAGUGGUGCGAUCAUGGUGUAUUUCAACCUCCGCCUCCCGGGUUCAAGCAAUUCUCCUGCCUCUGCCUCCCAAAUAGCUGGGAUUAUAGGCACCUGCCACAAUGCCCAGCUAAUUUUUGUGUUUUUAAUAGAGACAAGGUUUCACCAUUCUCAUCAGGCUGGUCUUGAACUACUGACCUUGUGAUUUGGCCGCCUUGGCCUCCCAAAGUGCUGGGAUUACAGACGUGAGCCACUACACGCUGCCAAUGCUUUGUAUUCUUAAGAGCAUUUCAUGAUGAAAAAUGAUUCACAUUAAAAAAAAAAAAAUUUAAUUGCAAGGUACUCAUUUGCCUUACUCCCUGUGAUCAAUUUCAAAGAUUAUUCAAAGCUUUUAAGCGCUAGCUCUUCACCAUUGUUUCAAGCUGGUCCAGCCUUUGGCCUGUGGGCUGCAUGCGGCCCAGGACAGCUUUAAGUGCAACCCAACACAAAUUCGUAAACUUUCUUAAGACAUUACAAGAUUUUUUUGGUGAUUUUUUUUUUUAGCUUAUCAGCUAUUGUAGUGUUAGUGUAUUUUAUGUGUGGCCCAAGGUAAUUCUUCUUCGAGUGUGGCCCAGGGAAACCAAAAGACUAGAGUCCCCUGCUUUAGAUAAUCAGUAUUUGACUGUUCCACUAGUUUCCUAAAGAAUAUCUUCAAUUAGUUCAUAUGUAGAAUGUAUAUAGUAUCUCACAUUUCUAUCCUAGUAGUAUUUUACAUGGUUUGUCUACACCUGACAUGUAUAGAAGAUGUCACUGAAGGCUGUCUUUUUUCUUUUCUUUUCUUUUUUUUGAGACAGUCUUGCUCUGUCACCAGGCUGGAGUGCGGUGGCAUGACCUCAGCUCACUGCAACCUCUGCGUCCUGGUUUCAAGCAAUUCUCCUGCCUCAGCCUUCUGAGUACCUGGGACUACAGGCAUGCACCACCAUGCCCAGCUAAUUUUUGUAUUUUUAGUAGAGACAGGGUUUCACCAUGUUGGCCGGGUUGGUCUCGAUCUCUUGACCGCAUGAUCCACCCGCCUCGGCCUCCCAAAGUGCUGGGAUUACAGGCAUGAGCCACCUCGCCUGGCCUAUCUUGUUUCUUAUACCAGAUAAAACUGGCACUUAUUAGGUUGGUGCAGAAGUAAUUGCUGUUUUGCCAUUAAACAUAAUUAAAAGUUUAACAGCAAAAACUGCAAGUACUUUUGUACUAACCUAAUGUAUGCUAUAAGGCAUGUUUAAAUCACACCCCUUACAACCUUUAUCUCUUAUGGUUCAACUACUAUUUUUAAGACUGAUAUUCUCAUCAUAACUCUAUGAGGUUUUCUUCUUGGCAGUAGAAGAAAUGAAAUGAUUGCAGAAGCUGUUGAGUUCUACUGCAAAGUAAGGGAGCUUUUUCAUUUAGAAUGUCGGCCUCUGUUUUUCUAUGGGUAUCACCCACAAAGAAUUUGUUCCUAUUAUUUAUUUUAGAGAUAUUAAUUUUGUGGAGUAAAAUAUGGAUCUUUUUCAGGAAAAAAAACUACCUGGUUGUGUGUAUAUGUAUUUUUAACUUCAACUUUUAUUUUGGAUGCAGUGGGUAUAUGUGCAGGUUUAUUAAAUGGAUGUAUUGCAUUUAUGCUGAGGUUUAGGGUAUGAAUAAUUCUAUCACCCAGGUAGUGAGCACAUUACCCAAUAGGUAGUUUUUUUCAGCCCUUAUCCCCUUUUGUUUUUCCCCCAUCUGGUAGCCUCCAGCAUCUGUUGUUUCCAUAUUUUUGUUCAAGUGUACCCAGUGAUUAGCUACCACUUAUUUGAUAGUAUUUGAUUUUCUAUUCCUGCAUUAGUUCAUUUAAGAUAAUGUCCUCCAGCUGCAUCCACAUUGCUGCAAAGGACAUAAUUUUGUGCUUAUUUAUGGCUGUGUAGUAUUCCAUGGAGUAUAUGUAACACAUUUUCUUGAUCCAGUCUGCAGUUGAUGGGCACCUGGGUUCAUUCCAUUUGUUGGAAUUAACUAUUGUGAAUAGUGCUGUGAUGAACAUAUAAGUGUGUGUGUCUUUUUGGUAGAACAAUUUAUUUUUAUUUUUUGGAUAUGUAUCCAGUAAUAGGAUUGCUGGGUUGAUUAUAUAUUUUUUAGACUAGCCAAUACUUUGUAAUCUGGAGGUGUCAUUAACAAAAUCAUUCACUACGUAGGUAUUGCUGAACAGACAUACGCAUGUGAGAUGCAUUCUUUGAUUGACAACUGCAUUUAUACCUUAUAGAAUCUGUUUGCAAUUUUAUUGUUGGCUCUGAAGGUUAGCUUCAAGCUACUGCUUAUAAAGAGCAUCCCAGACCUUUUGGGUUCUUACCGGGCUGAUCUGUCUGCCUCUGUGGCUUUUUCUUUCUUUCUCUCUCUCUCUCUCUGUCCUUCUCUCUGUCUCUUUUUUAGCCAGUCAAAUUUAGUAGUUGGGAGUUGUGUACCAACCUUAGUGACACCAAUGUUAGUAAGUUUUGGUAAACCACUACCAUUGGACCAGCUGUCUGUGGUUUUUCAACAACCCACACUAUGCAGAAUAGUUUAACUGUACUUAAGAACAUCGUUUAAAUGGUUUGUUCCCUUUCCUUGUUUGCUUCUUUAGUUAAUUCUAAAGAAAUCAGUGGAUUAUCCUGAUGUUGAUAAUUCUUCCAAGACGUAAAUAGUCAGUAUAUUUGAAUUAUUAUGUGCCUGCUUUAUUAUUCUUUUAAUAUUUGAGAAUAAGGAGAGAUAAAAGGAUAAUAGCUUAUCUUUGGGGUAAACCUCUUCGCCAUUUAAUACAAACUAGUUUCAGUGGUUACAAUAUGAAAUAUAUAUGAAAUAAUUAAGAUGCCUGUGGUAUGUUUAGAUUUUUGUAGACAAAGGAAAAUAGGUUGAAAAUUGUCAUUUUAUUAUGCAUUUUGUUUAAUACUAAGUUUAAGUAGACUUUUUGUUUCUGUGGUAAAUCUUAUGUAUCAUAUGCCAGAAUUUUUUUUUUUUUUGAGAAGGAGUUUCGCUCUUGUUACCCAGGCUGGAGUGCAAUGGCGUGAUCUUGGCUCACCACAACCUCCGCCUCCUGGGUUCAGGCAAUUCUCCUGCCUCAGCCUCCUGAGUAGCUGGGAUUACAAGCACACGCCACCGUGCCCAGCUAAUUUUUUUUGCAUUUUUAGUAGAGACAGGGUUUCAUCAUGUUGACCAGGAUGGUCUCGAUCUCUUGACCUCGUGAUCCACCCACCUCGGCCUCCCAAAGUGCUGGGAUUACAGGCUUGAGCCACCGCGCCUGGCCUUGCCAGAAUUUUUUUUAACUCUCAGACCUUCAGAACAGCUGGGAUCCAAAAAAGAUAAAGGAUAAUUCCUUAUUGAUAUCAAAGCAGGAAUAUUCUGUACCCAUUUAAUAAAGGAAAUAUCAAUACUUCAUACAUUAAAACUGGUACUCCAUCGUGAACUCCUAAAGAGCAAGAAGUGAAUUCUUCUGUUUCUGUUUUUUUUUUUUUUUUUUUUUUUGCUUUUUCUUUUUUCUUUUUUUUGAGAUGGGGUCUUGCUUUGUCACCCAGGCUGGAGUGUAGUGGCUUGAUCUUGGCUCAUUGCAACCUCUGCCUCCCAGGUUCAAGCGAUUCUCCUGCCUCAGCCUUUUGAGUACCUGAGACUACAGGCCCUUGCCACCACACCCAGCUAAUUUUUGUAUUUUUAGUAGAAUUGGGGUUUCACCAUAUUGCUCAGGCUGGUCUUGAACUCCUGCCCUUGUGAUCCACCUGCCUUGGCCUCCCAAAAUGCUGGGAUUACAGGCAUGAGCCACUAAGCCCGACAUAAGUGAGUUCUUUUAAAAUGAUGGCAUUUAUUUUUCUACUUAGAGAUAAUACAUAUUUAUUAUAGAAAGUUUACAAAAUAUUUUAAAAAUCACCCAAAAAUCUUUGUUAAUCUUUUAGUUUUUCUGUGCAUAAGCAUUUUAUAGUAAAACAUAGUCAGUCUGGGUGCGGUAGCUCACACCUGUAAUCCCAGCACUUUGGGAGGCCGAGGCGGGAGGGUCAUGAGGUCAGGAGUUUGAGACCAACCUGACCAAUGUGGUGAAAACCCGUCUCUACUAAAAAUACAAAAAUUAGCCAUGUGUGGUGGCGCAUACCUGUAAUCCCAGUUACUCAGGCAGCUGAGGCAGGAGAAUCAUUUGAACCUGGGAGGUGGAGGUUGCAGUGAGACGAGAUAACAGAGUAAGGCUAUCAGCAUCAUGUGGUUACCAACUGUUCCUCAUUCACCGGUUGAUGCCUCCCAGAAAAAAACACCGCCAGCCUUCCCAGAAAGCCCAGCUGCUGUUCCACCAACAACCACUGGAGGGCCCCAAACACUGCUAUGCAUCUACACAGCAUCCCAUCACUCACACUCGACAGGUGCCCAGCAAGCCCAUUGACCACAGCACCAUCACUUCCUGGGUAUCACCUGAUUUUGAUACAACAGCAGGAAGUUUGUUCCCAGCCUACCAGAAACACCACCACCAAGACCGGGCGAGACAUUUAAGUCGAAAAUCUACCACUUCCAAGUUUCCACAGCUAACUUUUGAGAAUCCACAAUCUUCCAGUUCAGAGACAUUGGGGACUCCUUAAUCAGGGAGUUCCUUAGUCAAUCAGAAAAGCCUGUUUCCAGAAGACCCUUAGUUCCAGUGCUCAGUCCCCAAAGCUGUGGGGACAUGUCAGCUCAGGCACUUCAGAGCUUACCUUAUGUGUUCAUUCCACCUGAUAUCCAGACCCCAGAGUCAUCGUCUAUGAAGGAAGAACUCAUUCCCCCAAAUCAGAAGGAAAACAACAUUUCAAGCUGCUCUCUUCACACUGGCACUCCCAGUAGCCUGGAGCCUGGACCUGUUCUGGUUAAAGACACCCCUGAGGACAAGUAUGGAAUAAAGGUCACAUGGAGGAGAAAAAAAAAAAACGAAAAAAAAUAAAGGAAAUAAAAUAUCUAUGUAUAGUCAUGAAUCUAUAAAUUAUUUAGUUUUGUAUAUGUGUGUAUGUGUGCAUAUGUUUAUGUCUUGAAAAUAGUUUCUCUUUCAGGUUUAGUAAAUUCUAAAAUUAGUGUUUGGUGUGUGGUGUGUGUGUGUGUGUGUGUGUGUGUGUGUGUUUUGGAGAUGGAGUUUUGCUCUGUCGCCCAGGCUGUAGUGCAAUGAUAUAAUCUCAGCUCACUGCAACCUCCGCCUCCUGGGUUCAAGUGAUUCUCCUGCCUUGACCCCCUGGGUAGCUGGAAUUACAGGCAAACACCACCAUGCCCAGUUCAUUUUUGUAUUUUUAGUAGAUGCAGAGUUUCACCAUGUUGGCCAGGCUGGUCUCAAACUCCUGACCUUGCGAUCCGCCUGCCUUGGCCUCCCAAAGUGCUGGGAUUACAGGUGUGAUCUACCACGUCCAGCCUUAGUUUUUUUUUUUUUUAAUUGAAGUAAAAUUUAUAUAACUUAGAAUUAGUCAUAUUAAAAUGAAAUGUACCACUCAACACAUUCACAGUGUUGUGCAACUAUUACCUCUAUCUAGUUCAAAAACGUUUUCAUCACUCCAUAAGUGAAAUACAGUAUCUAGUAAGCAGUCACUCCCUCUUUCCUCCUCUCCCCAGUCCUUGGCAGCUACUAACCUGCUUUCUGUCUUUAUGGAUUUGGCCUAUUCGGGGUAUUUUAUUUCAGUGGAAUCAUAGAGUAUUCAACCUUUUGUUAACUCCCUUGUAUUGAAUAUACCACAUUUUGUUUAUCCAUUCAUCAAUUUAUGAACAUUUGUGUUAUUUCCACUUUUGGCUAUUGUGAAUAGUGAUGCUGUGAACCUGCAUGUGAAGUUUUCGUUUGAACACUUGUUUUCAGUUCUUUUGGAUAUAUGCCUAGGAGUGAAAUUGCUAGGUCUUCUGGUGAUUCCAUGUUUAACUUUUUGAGGAACUUGUAAACUUUUUUCUACUGUGUUUUUACCACUUUAUUUCCCACCAGCAAUCUGCAAGAGUUUUAAUUUAUCCACAUCCUUGCCAGUGCUUUUGAUUUUCUUCUUUUUUUUAACAUUGUAGCCAUGCUAAUGUGUGUGAAAUAAUAUCUCACUGUGGUAAAAUGAGUUUUAUAUGUAGCUUUUCUGCCUGUAACUUACUCUGUAUGUUAUAAGGAGGUAGAAUUAUUAAUAUGUUAUAAACUAUUAAUAUCUUAUAAAUGGGCCAGGUACCUUGUCUCAUGCCUGUAAUUCCAGCACUUUGGGAGGCUGUGGUGGGCAGAUCAACUUGAGGCCAGGAGUUCAAGACCAGCCUGGCUAACAUGGUGAAACCCCAUCUCUACUAAAAAUACAAAAAAUUAGCCAGGUGUGGUGGUGCACGCCUGUAAUUCCAGCUACUCAGAAGGCUGAGGCAUGAGAAUUGCUUGAGCCUGGGAGGUGGAAUUUGCAGUGAGCCAAGAUUGUGCCACUGCACUCCAGCCUGGGUGACAGAGCAAGAGUCUGUUAAAGAAAAAGGAAGGAAGGAAGGAUGAAAGGAAGGGAGGGAGGGAAAGGAAGGAGGGAAGGAAAAAAGAAAAUCUAAUAAAUGGCCUGCAAAUUAAGAGUAUUUCAGUAUUGUUUCAACAGAUCUUUCUACAGAGAUAUAGUUUUGACAUUUUAAUAAGCAACUUCUACUUAAUUUGAUUGGGAUAAAUAAAUUCAUUAGAACAGGAAUGUCCAUCAGAGGAACUCUUUGCCAUAGAGGCAUCUUACUUUGCCACAGAAGCUUCUAAUUUGAGUACAACAUGCUUGAUUUUGAUUGAAUAUAAAGAAUGAACGAAGAUACUGGCAGUCAUCAAGCACAGCCUCUGAUCAGUAUUACCAAACCUUGCAUGACUACGUCUAGUAAAACGAUGAACAGCUCUUUCAUAGGGUAAUUCAUUCUAUUUUAGACAGGUCUAUUUAUAAACCAUGUUUUUCUGUAUGCUGAACUAAAGAUUGUUAUCCUUAAAAAUACACUAACUGGAACUGGUUAUUUUUUCUUGGUCCAAAUCAAGUCCAUUUUUUGACAUGAAGACAGCUAUCAUAUCCUCCCAAGUUUUCUUUUUUUCCCUCAUCAAAUGCUUUCAGUUAUUUCUACCCAUCACAGUUCAGAGGUCUCAUACCUUCACAGUUGUAUUUGCUUUCUUUUUGAUAUGCUGUAGUUUGUGGCCAUCCAUCCUAAAGGGUAUUUGCUCUAGAUAUGAUCUGACCCACAGAAUGGAACUUAACACAUAAAAUGUUUUCAUGUUCAUGAUGGCCCUGUGAUUUACUUAUGUAUGUUCCCAUUCCAUUCUGCAAAUGCGUAAACUUGGGCCCAGAUAGUUGAAGACACUUUCCUAAGGUCAUAUAUUAAGUGGAAGAACUGAGCUUGAAGUCCAAUUCAGAUUUAACUGCCUGUAAAGCCAUGAUAUUUUUAUUAAUAAUAAAAUCAAUAUUGAUAAACAUAACUACCAUUUAUUGCAUAGAUAACAUAUUCUUUUUUAAAAACUUUAAAGGUUUUCUAAGAGACAUGGUCUUAUUACAUCACCCAAGCUGGAGUGCAGUGGUACCAUCAUGGCUCACUGUAGCCUCAAACUCCUGGGCACAAGCAAUCCUCCUGCCACAGUCCCCUGAGUAGCUGGGACUACAGGUGCAUGCCACCAUGUCUGACUAAUUUGGUUUGUUUGUUUGUUUUAGUGCCUGGGGUUUUGCUAUGUUGUCCAGGCUGGUCUUGACCUCCUGGUCUCAAGUGAUCCUCCUGCAGCAGCCUCCCGAAGUGCUGGGAUUAUAGGCAUGAGCCACCAUGCCCAGUCUGAAAACAUAUUCUUGACAUUGUGCUAAGUACUUAGACUGCCAUCUAAACCUCACAGCUAACUUGGGAAAUACAGAGUACUAUUUUUAUAAAUGAGGAAAUUGAGGAUUUAAAACCAAAUGUGAUUCUAAAACCAUUCGAUUCUAAGACUCUUAAUAUUAUACCAUCCUGUCCAUGCUAUUCCAUGGCAUAGCUGAUAUUUCAAUAAUUAGGAGCACACCUACUUGGUGUUUCAGUGUUCCAGAUUUAUAUGGAAUAGUCUGUAUGAUUAUAUAAUUUGCAAUUAUCAUAAAUUUAUUACUAAUUUUUUCUUUCAUUUCCUUUGAUCCAAAAACAUUACUGAUUUGAUUAUACGUUGAUACAGCCUUUCUGAAGGGCAGUCCUGUCAGUAUUUAACAAAAUACUUUUUUAAAAAAUGGUAACAUUUCAAAAUUUGUUUUC